AACGAAAGAUGACUGUCACUAUAACUACAAUAUAAACAAUUUACGCUUCCUAACAGUUGCAUGGGAUAAUUAUUACAUGGGUUUAGUCAUUUGGAAUCAGUAUCAAUUCAAAACUGUUGAGACAGAGCUUGAAAUAACAGCCGAUCGACAAGAAAUUGCUUAUGAUCGGCGGAAAAGCAGGGUUUCCAACCUGAAAAAAAAACAGGGAAAGUCAUGACUGCCGAUCACCAUGAUCGUAAGAAUACAAAUUUACAAUUACAUGUAUCGAAUGGGCUUACAGUAAAUCGAUAGGACUUAUGAAGCUUCACAGCACAUCAUGCAUAGCAUAUUUUGCAUUUUCAGUGUGAAUCCUUAAACUCAUUGUUCAAAAGUAAUCACCGUGGUUGUUAUUGUAAUUAUUGGUAUUGUCAAAACCUUUUUUUUAACUGACACAUGCAUAAACUACAGUAUAUGUUUUUUUAUAAUCAAACCGUUUAAUUUCAUUAUAAAGAGCACUAAAAAUCUACUUGUCUCUACCGAUGCAGUAUUCACAAAAUUAUUCAUUGCCAUUGAUUGAAAAUAAUUGAAUUGGUUAGGUAAUUCUUAUCCUGAUAGAUCGUGUUUAUGGUGUUUAGCCUAUACUACCACAUCGGUUGAGGCUAAGCUAUAAAUUUACUAUCGUGUUUAUAUAACGAAAUAUACGUUUAGUUUCAUUGUUAUCAGGAUUAACAGUAGUCGUGUAGUAACACAUUGGCCAAUUUUCAACUUGGUUACCAUCGCCUCAGCGUGUUGUUAUUUUCCUAUGGCUGUGUUGUAAACACUGAAACACGACAUCAUUGUAUUGACAAACAUGAUGGAAUUGAUCGAAUUUCAAAAUAUAAAAUAGACGGUCUUAGUAUGUACAACGUGUCAUACCCGUUCAAAGCCCAGAAUUAGAAACAUUCGUCAUAUAAAUUGAGCAUUAUUCAAUAUAUUAAUUAGCCUAAAAUGCCUAUGUAAUUUUGUCUCCUUAUUAUAAUAAAUAAAUUUUAUUUUUAGACAAAAAUUAAAAUUUAUAUGGGGGUGGCGAAUUUCCUAGGAUAUUCGCCCCCCGGGGGCGAUAUUCCUAAGAAUAUCCCCCCCCCCUCUUUUGAGAGGGGGCGAAUCUCCUGGGGGGGGGGCGAAAUUCCUGUGACACCGGUAUGAAAAUCGCUACGCUCAGAUGCAAUCUGGUAUAGCGUAACUUUUAUAUUUCAAUCUAUUGUAACAAUGAAAUACUGUAUACCAAAAUUAAAAUUGUCUAAAUACCAAUAUAACUGAAAGACAGUAUAAAUGUCUCUGUAUAUGUCCUGCAAAGUCAGAGCUAUAUAAAUUUGAUACGGAAUCGCCAAAUAGUGCAUGGGCGGAUAUACAUACACACAUACGCUGGCCUCAACAACUCACGGCUGAUUUCCAUGAGGGGCGUGAUUUUAGAAAGAAUAUACUGUACAGAUAAACAUUAAAAAUACAAAAAAAUACAAAGAAAGAAGAAUUACUAUAUAGGCAACAAGACGAGCCAAUUUUAAGUGUUUGCCUGAUUAAUAUUAUAGUUAUUUGAAAAGAACUUAAAGAUUCCGCUACUUUUACCUCAUUCGGUA